GGACAUGAGGGUGAUCUGGCUGCGACAUCCAUCUCCCCACUGAUCUCCAAGUGUCCCCUUAGCCCAUCACCCCUCCAUGUGCGUCAUUCCCAAACCUGUGAACUGGGUCAAAGAGGAUUCUUUCCUUGGUCAAGGGGUUAACUACGCACCCCUGUGAGCACCUCCACACAAGCUCUCAGGAUGGUAGCUACAUUCGCCAAAUAUAGUUGUGCAUGCCUGUAGACCUGGCAUUCUUA
rnacentral:snRNA from 1 species